rnacentral:rRNA from 1 species
AUGGGACGCACCGCCUUGGUCAAGUCGGUGCUUGCCUCCCAAGCCAUAUACUUCAUCACUACGCUCGUCGUCCCCACAAGCACCCUCAAAAAUCCCAACAAGCUUGAGCGAGCGUUCCUUUGGGAGGGAACAGACAAGACCACCGGGGCCAAAUGCAAGGUUAAUUGGGACACCGUUUGCCGCCCAAUUGCCAAUGGGGGUCUUGGAGUGCUAAACACGGAGAAAUUCGCUAGGGCACUGAGGAUUCGUUGGAUUUGGUUUGAGUGGAAGGAGCCAACUAAGAUGUGGGUUGGCAUGGGCAACCCGUGCGAUGACGCAGACUACAACUUCUUCUAUGCCUCCUCAAUUAUUAUCGUGGGAAAUGGCGCGCGCGCCCCCUUUUGGGACUCUCCAUGGGUGCACAACCGCAAACCCAUGGAUUUGGCCCCUCUCAUCUACGCGGCGUCAACGAGGAAGAAUUGGAAGGUGCGGGAAGCACUAAAGGAUGGUGCUUGGGUUAAAAAGAUCAAGAUGACGUCCGAUUUUUCUAUAGAGCACUUCAGACAAUUUCUCGAGCAUUGGGCCACCAUCCGGGAUUUUCACCUACAGGAGGAUAUUGACGACGACAUUGUUUGGAAGCAUUCUACUAGUGGCCUCUACACGGUGGAGUCCGCCUACAAAGCGCAAUUUCUCGGCCUCAUUCGCUCUCCCUUGGAGCAUGCAGUGUGGAAAAUCUGGGCUCCACCCAAGGUCAAGUUCUUUGCUUGGUUGGCCAUCCAAAUAGAGUCUGGACUGCGGAUCGAUUGGCCAAGCGUGGUUGGCCUAACUGUGGCUCAUGCCCCCUAUGCAUGCGUGAGAAUGAAUCGGUUGACCAUCUCUUCUUCAAAUGUCGUUUCACCGUUCGCCUAUGGGGCUUGGUCAAGGCGUGGCUGCAACUCAUUCACAUUGACACCUCUACUUGGCCCCUGA